rnacentral:lncRNA from 1 species
CCAAUCUUCAAUUUUGCAAUGCAGAGUUGUGUUCAAGGUCAUGAGACUCAUUCCCCCUUGAAAUGUGAAAAUACACCUCUGGGAGUCUAUUUCGAGGUAUAACUAUUUGUUUUUUCCAGGAGAUAAGAGAAGCUUUAUUACUCUUACAGAGGAGGUCAAUUAACUAAACAAAUAGCUACCUCAAAUCCCAAGUGAAUUUUGGAUCUGCUUUGUAGUUUAAAUUGUGUGAAAUUUUAUUCUGACUUUGUAGUCUCUGGUGGACUACAUAUAUGCAUCUACUCUAAAUACAUCAGUUUUCUUUAUUUCCAUAUUAAUAUGGAAAGAUUUCUCUUUGUUGGUAGGAUUUUUACUACCUCACUAUUUUACAGGUAUGAGCUCAUCUUCAGAGAACUCUCAGAAGAUCCUAUGAAAUAGGAGCUAUUAUGGCACCCCAUUUUUUAUAGGAGUGAAAACUAAGUUUCAGCUAAGUAAGUAACUUUCUCUAGGUUACAAAGGUAGUAAGUUGCAUGGCUGAGACUCCUAUUUAUAUUUGACUUCAGAAUCUGCGCUCUUCCUCUCGGUAUGACACUGAAUCUAUAUCAGUGAAUUGAGAUUGUUAUCGAUGCCCUUCACACUUCAAAGAUGACAAUAGGAUCAGGGAGAUUAACAACAUCGGGCAAGCUUCCAGGGGCUCAAACUCAGGUCUUGAAUUCCAGCAUGGGACAUGCAAGAACAUUCAAAAGAAAAGUUUGACUUUGAAGCUCAACAAACAAGGCUGGAAACAAAACAGUAAUUCGAAAACUGUUCUAACUAAACUAUGCUCAACUGUUCUAAAAUAGAGAUGGGAUUCUUUAAAGAAAUGGGUUUAUGGCCUUGUCUACUUCUCUUUAACCCUCUGCUAGAGGACAGCGAACUGUGUUUUCCAACUUGCAGUUUGAUGUCAUUUGAGAAGCUCUUGGAGCAAUGCUUGGACUCAGACAUUAGGUCAUCAUUGGUCUGACUGUGACACACCUACUUCAUGCUUUGGUCAUUGGUCUGUCUUUUGAGGAGGAUUCUAUUGAGGAAGAUUAUCAUCUAUGUGUGCAAUUGUGGCUACAAAGUCAGAAAAUGUCUUUCUCUCUUUGCUGUCAUGCUAGAACAUGAGCCCUCAGAAAACAAAAAUAUCUGCACUUCAAUGCUGAGUCCCCACAGUAAACUGCUCAAAUCUACCAGCAGCAUUCCAGUACUUACAGGAAAGGAACUCUACAGGAUGGUGGCAUAGCCAUGGAAAUAGGAACCAAGUAUAUCUGAAAUGUAUCCU